CGCGUAGGCGGCGGACCUUGUCGAGUGUGAAAGCCCCGGGCUCAACCUGGGAGGUGCGCUCGAGACGGGUUUGCUGGAGUUCGGGAGAGGAGAGUGGAAUUCCCAGUGUAGAGGUGAAAUUCGUAGAUAUUGGGAAGAACACCGAUGGCGAAGGCGGCUCUCUGGACCGAGACUGACGCUGAGGCGCGAAAGCAUGGGGAGCAAACAGGAUUAGAUACCCUGGUAGUCCACGCUAGUAAACGAUGUGUGCUAGACGUUGGGGAGCGUAGCUCUUCGGUGUCGCCGCAAACGUCUUUAAGCACACCGCCGUGGGGAGUACGGCCGCAAAGGUUAAA
rnacentral:rRNA from 1 species